AUGCUGUCGAAGGUAUUAGCUCAUCCCGAGGGCUCAAUUGGAGAUGUAUGUAAAGUUGAGGUUUCAGAUCAAGUGGACAUUGGUGAAAAGUUUAUCUCUAAUCUAAGGGAUCUUGAUGACACUAACACUUUUGGAAUGCUUUCUUUCACUAAUAGUUUUGAUAACUCUUGUCAAAAGAAUUUUGAAGACUUGAAAAAUCAUGCAGAAGCUUUGGAAAUAAAAACUAAUUGGAUACGAAGAAACUAA